rnacentral:pre_miRNA from 2 species
GUCCUGUGCUCCGCAGGGGCGGGGCGGCCGCUCUCCCUGUCCUCCAGGAGCUCACGUGUGCCUGCCUGUGAGCGCCUCGACGACAGAGCCGGCGCCUGCCCCAGUGUCUGC